rnacentral:rRNA from 1 species
ACGGGUCCGAUUUAUCGGGCUAGUGGCGAAUGGGUGAGUAACGCGUAAGCAAUCUGCCCCUAAGUAGGGGAUAACUUUGAGAAAUCGGAGCUAAUACCUUAUGUGGUGGUGGGGGUAAGGCUCCAUCACUAAAGCCUUAGGGCGCUUGGGGAGGGGCUUGCGUCUGAUUAGCUAGUUGGUAGGGUAACGGCUUACCAAGGCGAUGAUCAGUAGCUGGUCUGAGAGGAUGGUCAGCCACACUGGGACUGAGACACGGCCCAGACUCCUACGGGAGGCAGCAGCAAGGAAUAUUGUGCAAUGGGCGAAAGCCUGACACAGCGACACCGCGUGGGGGAUGAAGGCUUUCGGGUUGUAAACCCCUUUUCUCAGGGAAGAAUAAUGACGGUACCUGGGGAAUAAGCCUCGGCUAACUACGUGCCAGCAGCCGCGGUAAUACGUAGGAGGCGAGCGUUAUCCGGAUUUACUGGGUGUAAAGAGGGCGUAGGCGGUUCUUCAAGUCGGAUGUGAAAUCUCCCGGCUUAACCGGGAGGGGUCAUUCGAUACUGUUGGGCUAGAGGACAGCA